AAAAAAAGGGCACUGAUGUCACGUGAACCCCUUGCAAGCAAAAAUAAGUUGCUGAAAUUUUGCCAUGAUUUGUCUUUCGUCAUGCUUCCCAUGGACAGAUUAUAAAACGCCAUGUGCCGCAGUCUAUGAUUCAUAAGAUAAGAAAUAAAAGAGUACUCUCGCCAUUCAACGAUCGCGCACCACGUGAUGUGUCUAACAGUAGCAACAGCCAGCUGAAGCCUCGGCUUUGUCAGGAGAAGGGAGGCAAGGUUUCACGACAUCUACAAUGCAGUCAGCUACAGAAGAAAAGAUACUGGUGUAACAACAGUAUUUACGUACACCGGAGAUCCCAGAUCAAUUAAGGCUCAAGUGUCAAACUACAAAUUCUCCUGCUGUGGAAUUGUUCGGUAGUGGCCCUUCACUCAGCAUUUGAAUUGGUCAAUAGCUACCUCCCGAGUUAUUUACUAGGUGGAGACCAGAUUCGUUGCUUAUUAUGAGCGACUAGAUAGAUGAACAUUCCGUAAGUUUGGCACCACCUCAAUUUAUGCCACUUUCGUAAAGCUACUGAACAGAUCAGUGGAUUACUUUGUUAAUCUUUCAGCAUAGGUCCAAUACAUAAUAAUUGUCACA